rnacentral:rRNA from 1 species
GACGAACGCUGGCGGCGUGCUUAACACAUGCAAGUCGAACGGAAAGGCCCUGCUUUUGUGGGGUGCUCGAGUGGCGAACGGGUGAGUAACACGUGAGUAACCUGCCCUUGACUUUGGGAUAACUUCAGGAAACUGGGGCUAAUACCGGAUAGGAGCUCCUGCUGCAUGGUGGGGGUUGGAAAGUUUCGGCGGUUGGGGUUUGACUAGCCGCUUAUCAGCUUGUUUGUGUGGUGGUGGCUUACCAAGGCGUUGAGUGGUAGCCGGCUUGAGAGGGUGACCUGCACAAUUGGCACUGACUUCCGCCCCAGACUUCUAUGGUGGGCAGUAGUCGGGAAUUUUGCGCAAUGGUCGGAAGCCUGAUGCAGCAACGCCGCGUGCGGGAUGACGGCCUUCGGGUUGUAAACCGCUUUCUCCUGUUACGAAGCGUGAGUGAGGGUAAUGGGUAAAGAAGCACCGGCUAACUACGUG